UACGAGGGGUGCAAGCGUUGCUCGGAAUUAUUGGGCGUAAAGGGUAGGUAGGUGGUCUCAUUUGUCUGGGGUGAAAGCCUUGGGCUUAACCCAAGAAGUGCCCCAGAAACGGUGAGACUCGAGUCCUGGAGAGGCGAGUGGAAUUCCCGGUGUAGCGGUGAAAUGCGUAGAGAUCGGGAGGAACACCAGAGGCGAAGGCGGCUCGCUGGACAGGUACUGACACUCAACUACGAAAGCGUGGGGAGCAAACAGG
rnacentral:rRNA from 1 species